GAGAAAAAAAAUGGAGCUAAGUCAAGUUUCCUGAUCAAAGCUCAAAUGUUUAAUAAAAGUCUGCACUUAUAAAGGGGGAAACCCAUCCCCUGCCACGCCAAGUUUCUUGAUGUCAUGACACCAAGUUGUUAGCACAGCCUUUUAGCAGUAAGUCACCAAAUUCACAGGUUGCAGUUAACUCCAGAAAAUCUCAGAGGACCAGUCCAGCCUCUCGGCAGGUGGUAGGCAGUGUCACAUCAAAGGAAACUAGCUGAGUUGUAGGAGUUGCACUACAGGUGGCCCUGCCGCAGUGGAGUAAGGUCUGAACCAGCCUGCUUUAGGCUGGAAGAGGUUACAUCCCCCCCCAUUAUUAAUAUUAAAAAAAAACUGGACUGAGGCAUAAAAUUUAUUUAUGUUCUAUAGUCCUGCCUGGGAGUUAUGGUGGCUGGCGGCUGCGCCUGUCUUAGGAAAUCUUAGAUCUUCCCGAACCAUCCAAUUCAGUCUUGAAGGCUACAUGCAGCUAGUUUGUGUUAUAUUUCACACAAAACAUGGCUCUGUGGUGUGUUAUCAAUAGCCACGGACUUUUGGCAUGUACCUCUGUCUCAGAUUGGCAUGGUUCUGAGAUCUGGGUGCCUGUCUUUGACUGUCUGGCCCUCAUAGCACACUUUAUUCCCAAUUCAGACCAAAGCCACAAUAUGUACUUAGAAUGCUUCUUCAUGAAGAUUAAUAACUGCCACCUGCGGUGUUGGAGGUGAGGCUGCACACCUGCUGCAGUCAGGCUGAGGGGCAUUGACUAACCUGCUUGAAAAACAAUGGGAGACAGUGAAAAGCAACAGUACAAAAGCUUCUUUGGGGAAGUCCAAGUACUCCAUUCAACUGCAAAUUAACAUUGAUCAAGCUUAGACUUAGAGCUCCCGGUGUGGGGGAGGUGGCUUUGAGAAUUGCAGAAAGGCUGCAGCUUCUCUGAGAGUGGAGGCUGUGCUCCAAAUUAACUUUUAGGCUAAAGAGGAUUUUUAGCCAUAAUCAAGGUUAAAGUCAUACUUACUAGAAGAUUCAGGAUCUGUGUCCAGUUGACGAACUAAUCUCUCAGGCAGCUAUCGAGCUCCACCUUCUUUUUGUGAAAAAACACAAACCGAGCCCCUUCCCCAGAUUAGGACCAAGUCUGGACCAUUCCAUUCAUUAGUUAAUGGGUCCUGCCACUUUACCAUGGCAUAAGAACUAGAACUGGAUGCCAGUAGAGAUCCACUGCAGACUGACCUUUAACAUCAGUUUGCAAAAAAUUUAGAACAAAUAAAGCAAAAGCAAGAUGUGCCUUUGGUGACCUUGGGGGAUUUAACUGCCCCUGUUUUGUUUUUAAAAGCCAAUUUUUUAAAGUGCGAUGAGCACUUUGGGGUAAUGAUUGCCAGUUUUAUUUAAAAUGAUGGUAUGCAAUAGAUCAAAUAUUAAUAUUCUGUAAUAACCAAAUUAAUUGCUGUUUUUAACAAGGAACAGACACUUUGUCAGGUUCUUAAGACACAAUUUUUGUUAUACGUUUUCUAAAAUAUAUGAAUUUAUCUUACAAUUCUUUAUUAGCAUGACAGCAGCCUUAAUAGGAUGUUAAAACUGUGCUUUGAGGUGAACGCCACCUCGGCCUUGCCCACCUCUGGCCCUCCUCCCAGGCCGAAGAGGCUGAAGUGGCCCAAUCUGUUGUAGGCCAGGAAGCCCGAGUGAGGCCAGCAGAGCAUCCCAAGUCCUAGCGGGAAAAAUAUGGCCACCCCCGUCGGGGACAGGCAGAGGCUCAUGGGGGCAAUGGUGAGCACGGCCCUCCCCUGGGUUCACUACAAAGGUGCCCGCUUUCUGGUGGCCUCCCGUGCCACCACCACUCAGGGAAAGCUGCGUACCCCAUGGUCCUGCCCCGCAGCAGCCAGCAGCCGCCGGCCAGGAGGAGAAGAAAAAUGACUUUACAAUAAUGUUUUGUCUUGCCAAAGAAUUGCUGUGGGCACAGCUGAUAUUUAAUUACCAUUGAUUAUAAUUAAGAACAAUUAUAAAAGCUUUCUUUAUUUUCUGCAAAGCCUUUUGUUCUUUGCCAAUUAAUUUGCGUCUCACUUAAUAGCACCUAACAAAGGCUUAAGUUUUCCUGUGGUGAGUUUAAGGUGAGGUCUUUCUUAGCCAAUUAACAUCUCCUGGAAGCUUUUGAAAAUAAAAAUUUGAAGCAAAUCAAUUUUUCGUUCUUAGAUUUUUCUGUACCACAAUUUUAUAGUAUUACUAAAACCCUAGUAUUCAAAAGAUAUUGCCUCUGAAUCUUUUC
rnacentral:lncRNA from 1 species